rfam:Trichobilharzia regenti genome assembly, scaffold: TRE_scaffold0018295
GUACUGAUGAUGAGUCCCAAACUAGGAUGAAACAGCUGUCCAGUAC